GCCACCUUAGCUCAGUUGGUAGAGCAGUUCAUUCGUAAUGAACAGGUCAUCCGUUCGAGUCGGAUAGGUGGCUCCA
rnacentral:tRNA from 1 species